GACGAACGCUGGCGGCGUGCUUAACACAUGCAAGUCGAACGGAAAGGCCCUGCUUUUGUGGGGUGCUCGAGUGGCGAACGGGUGAGUAACACGUGAGUAACCUGCCCUUGACUUUGGGAUAACUUCAGGAAACUGGGGCUACUACCGGAUAGGAGCUCCUGCUGCAUGGUGGGGGUUGGAAAGUUUCGGCGGUUGGGGAUGGACUCGCGGCUUAUCAGCUUGUUGGUGGGGUAGUGGCGUACCAAGGCUUUGACGGGUAGCCGGCCUGGGAGGGUGACCGGCCACAUUGGGACUGAGAUACGGCCCAGACUCCUACGGGAGGCAGCAGUGGGGAAUAUUGCACAAUGGGCGGAAGCCUGAUGCAGCAACGCCGCGUGCGGGAUGACGGGCUUCGGGUUGUAAACCGCUUUCGCCUGUGACGAAGCGUGAGUGACGGUAAUGGGUAAGAAAGCACCGGCUAACUACGUG
rnacentral:rRNA from 1 species